GGGGGAGUAGCUCAGUGGCAGAGCACUCAAUGUUCUUGCAGACAGCGGUUGAUUUGAAUCUUGCUUUUUUUCUGACCAGAAUAUUUUAUCAAGCGGUUGGUGAGGGAGCGAUCGGUCCUGGGUUCGAUUUCCAGCUCCCCCA